CGGAAGGGAUAAUCGCUGAAGGCAUCUAAGCGAGAAGCCCCCUCCGAGAUGAGACCUCCCGCCGCAAGGCUAAGGCCCCUCGAAGACUACGAGGUUGAUAGACCGGGAGUGCAAGCAUGGCGACAUGCUGAGCGGACCGGCACUAAUAGGCCGAGGACCUGGCCAC
rfam:Sharpea azabuensis strain DSM 20406 genome assembly, contig: Ga0059086_1022